rnacentral:rRNA from 1 species
ACAGCAGUAGCCACGGUAAUACGUAGGUGGCAAGCGUUGUCCGGAAUUAUUGGGCGUAAAGGGCUCGCAGGCGGUUUCUUAAGUCUGAUGUGAAAGCCCCCGGCUCAACCGGGGAGGGUCAUUGGAAACUGGGAAACUUGAGUGCAGAAGAGGAGAGUGGAAUUCCACGUGUAGCGGUGAAAUGCGUAGAGAUGUGGAGGAACACCAGUGGCGAAGGCGACUCUCUGGUCUGUAACUGACGCUGAGGAGCGAAAGCGUGGGGAGCGAACAGGAUUAGAUACCCGCGUAGUCCCUGUCUCUUAUAC